AUAUCGAUAAGCGGAGGAAAAGAAACCAACAGGGAUUACCUCAGUAACGGCGAGUGAAGCGGUAACAGCUCAAAUUUGAAAUCUGGCUCUUUCAGGGUCCGAGUUGUAAUUUGUAGAAGAUGCUUCGAGUAUUGGCCCGGUCUAAGUUCCUUGGAACAGGACGUCAUAGAGGGUGAGAAUCCCGUAUGUGAUUGGUGCCCUUGCUCAUGUGAAGCUCUUUCGACGAGUCGAGUUGUUUGGGAAUGCAGCUCAAAAUGGGUGGUGAUAUUUC
rnacentral:rRNA from 1 species